GCAAAGAAGCUGGAAUACGCUCGUGAAGACGAGGCACAGACAUUUGCAGAAAAUGAAGUGGACGAGGAAGCAGUAGAGUGUAAUAACGUGAUUGCUGCAAUUGGUGAGGAUGCAUCAUCUUUUGAGAGUAAUGCGAAUGUCCUGCGUAUCCAGUGAAAUAAGUCAUGGUGAACCUGACUGAAUGCAUUCAUCUACUAUCUCCAACCAAGUCAGAGCUUCAAGGACAGCUUGUGCUAAAGGUGCCUGAGCUUGAUUAAGAAAAAAAGCAUCUCCACUGGCCAAAGUCUACAAAAAAGCAAGAGAAUAGAAGUUUGCAGAUGAUCUAACAGGGUGUCACAGUGGCGCAGUGGGUAGCAUGAUCGCCUCACAUCAAGAAGGUUGCUG